rnacentral:lncRNA from 1 species
CCUUGUAGCCAACGUCGGGUUUUCGAGACUAACGUAAGACGUCCGUCGGCUUUGGGCCCGAAGAGAACCAAAGGAAUGAGGGGAAUAAAGUGCUUGAAUUGUAAUGUUUAAUUGAUAAAACGUUGUCUGAAGACAUGGAUGACGUGGUCAAAAAUAAGCUUAAGAGCAAUGCCAAGAUUUACAGUAACACUUUGGAGCGAAUAACGUUAACCGUGCUAGCCAGAUGCCUGCUAGCAUUGUAACUAGCUAGCUAGCUAGUGUUCUUCUGACGAUGUGGUUAGAUAAUCAAACAUAUUAGCAAAGACACCCUAUUGAUGUUCUCUAACCCAGCUAGCGUUAGCUAACAAGUAGUAGUAGUAGCACAGAGCAGAGGCAAAUUUUUGAAAUCGUAUUAUUGUAACUAGCUAGUAGUCUCUCUCGCCAACUAGCCUUCUUUUACUGUCCCUCUUGAGGCCACGGGGCGAAAUGCACAAGCAAGCACCCCCCCAUCAAAUCAAAUGUUAUUUGUCACAUACACGUAUUUAGUAGAUGUUAUUGCGGGUGUAGCGAAAUGCUUGUAAGCAAUGUCACUCUACUACUAGGCCUGUAACAGAUGAAACCUCAGAUUGUGCCAGUAUUUACAAUUUUCUUUGACAACAGUAUUCAAAGCUGCAUGACAAUGGGACUGAGGUGAACCUGGAGGACAUAACACCCCAAGGUAAACAACAGUCCGUUUAUGGUUACACUAGUUAGCUAAGAAUUCUUAAACUCCAGUGUCCAUGUUCCUUAUCUAUGGUUACACAUAUUAUCUGCUUCUCAGUACUUUAAUAAUUGUUUAGCCUUGUCAACAACGACAGUAGCUAGUUUUAUAUUAAUGGGUACAAAUUCUGCACACAACCGAGUUGGCUCAAUGUUCUGAUGUUUAUUGUAUUUCCAUGUGUCUUGUCAUUGGAUGGAGAAGAGGUGAGAGUAUGCAUGGUCAAGUCAGAGUUGGAACUAUCAAAGCUGGGAUUGUCAAAGGCCACAGAACAUCAUUAGAGACUUCAAGAUGGACAUCUCAUACCACCAGGAUGAUCCCAACGAUGAUUGUGUAGAUGAGGGUGCUGGCCCUGUCAACAGUAAUGAUUCUGUUAUGCUGCAGAGAUCAGCCACUGUAAGUAAAUUAUUUGAACAUUAACCCUAGUGACAUAUAGACACUACCGUUCAAAAGUUUGGGGUCACUUAAAAAUGUCCUUGUUUUUGAAAGAAAAGCAAAAAUGUUGUCCUUUAAAAUAACAUCAAAUUGAUCAGAAAUAAAGUGUAGACCUUGUUAAUGUUGCAAAUUACUAUUGUAGCUGGAAAUGGCUCAUUUUUUAUGGAAUGUCUACAUAGGUGUACAGAGGCCCAUUAUCAGCAACCAUCACCCCUGUGUCCCAAUGGCAUGUUGUGUUAGCUAAUCCAAGUUUAUCAUUUUAAAAAGCUAAUUGGUCAUAAGAAAACCCCUUUGCAAUUGUUAGCACAUCUGAAAACUGUUGUUCUGAUUUAAAGAAUCAAUUAAACUGGCCUUUUAUACUAGUUGAGUA